rnacentral:rRNA from 1 species
AUUGAACGCUGGCGGCAGGCCUAACACAUGCAAGUCGAGCGGCAGCGGGAAAGUAGCUUGCUACUUUUGCCGGCGAGCGGCGGACGGGUGAGUAAUGCCUGGGAAAUUGCCCAGUCGAGGGGGAUAACAGUUGGAAACGACUGCUAAUACCGCAUACGCCCUACGGGGGAAAGCAGGGGACCUUCGGGCCUUGCGCGCUUGGAUAUGCCCAGGUGGGAUUAGCUAGUUGGUGAGGUAAUGGCUCAACAAGGCGACGAGCCCUAGCUGGUCUGAGAGGAUGAUCAGCCACAAUGGAACUGAGACACGGUCCAGACUCCUACGGGAGGCAGCAGUGGGGAAUAUUGCACAAUGGGGGAAACCCUGAUGCAGCCAUGCCGCGUGUGUGAAGAAGGCCUUCGGGUUGUAAAGCACUUUCAGCGAGGAGGAAAGGUCAGUAGCUAAUAUCUGCUGGCUGUGACGUUACUCGCAGAAGAAGCACCGGCUAACUCCGUGCCAGCCGCCGCCGUAAUAC